UACGUAGGGGGCUAGCGUUGCUCGGAAUCACUGGGCGUAAAGCGCACGUAGGCGGAUUCCUAAGUCGGUGGUGAAAUCCUGGAGCUCAACUCCAGAACUGCCUUCGAUACUGGGAAUCUUGAGUCCGGAAGAGGUGAGUGGAACUGCGAGUGUAGAGGUGAAAUUCGUAGAUAUUCGCAAGAACACCAGUGGCGAAGGCGGCUCACUGGUCCGGUACUGACGCUGAGGUGCGAAAGCGUGGGUAGCAAACAGG
rnacentral:rRNA from 1 species